rnacentral:tRNA from 1 species
GGCCUCGUAGCUCAGUUGGUGGAGCGUGCGUCUUAAAAAAGUGUAGGCGGAGUCCACGCGUGGGUUCGUAUCUCACCGAGGCUA